CGUAGGUGGCAAGCGUUGUCCGGAUUUACUGGGCGUAAAGGGAGCGUAGGUGGAUAUUUAAGUGGGAUGUGAAAUACCCGGGCUUAACCUGAGUGCUGCAUUCCAAACUGGAUAUCUAGAGUGCAGGAGAGGAAGGAGAAUUCCUAGUGUAGCGGUGAAAUGCGUAGAGAUUAGGAAGAAUACCAGUGGCGAAGGCGCCUUUCUGGACUGUAACUGACACUGAGGCUCGAAAGCGUGGGAGCAAACAGGAUU
rnacentral:rRNA from 1 species